rnacentral:rRNA from 1 species
UACGUAGGGUGCGAGCGUUAAUCGGAAUUACUGGGCGUAAAGUGUGCGCAGGCGGCCGCGCAAGUCGAGUGUGAAAGCCCCGAGCUUAACUUGGGAAUUGCGCUCGAAACUACGUGGCUGGAGUGUGGCAGAGGAAGGUGGAAUUCCACGUGUAGCGGUGAAAUGCGUAGAUAUCUGGAGAACACCGGUGGCGAAGGCGACAUCCUGGACCGGUAUUGACGCUGAGGCGCGAAAGCCAGGGGAGCAAAGCGGGGAUUAAGAU